rnacentral:rRNA from 1 species
GACGAACGCUGGCGGCGUGCUUAACACAUGCAAGUCGAGCGAGAAAGCGGCUUCGGCCGUGAGUACAGCGGCGAACGGGUGAGUAACACGUGGGCAACCUGCCCCAGAGAUUGGGAUAACGUCCCGAAAGGGACGCUAAUACCGAAUAACGCGUGACCUGCCAAGUGGGUCACGCCAAAUGGUAGCCUCGGCCUCUGCUCUGGGAUGGGCCCGCGCCGGAUUAGCUUGUUGGGGGGGUAACGGCCUACCAAGGCGACGAUCCGUAGCUGGUCUGAGAGGACGAUCAGCCACACUGGGACUGAGACACGGCCCAGACUCCUACGGGAGGCAGCAGUGGGGAAUCUUGCGCAAUGGGCGAAAGCCUGACGCAGCAACGCCGCGUGAGCGAAGACGGCCUUCGGGUUGUAAAGCUCUGUCAGGAGGGACGAAGCCACUCGGGUGAAUAGCCCAGAGGGUGACGGUACCUCCAGAGGAAGCCCCGGCUAACUACGUGCCAGCCGCCGCCGUAA